rnacentral:tRNA from 1 species
UGGCUCAGUGGUAGAGUGUUUGCUUUGCAUGCAUGAGGCCCUGGGUUCGAAUCCUUG